rnacentral:rRNA from 1 species
GAGGCCUACCAUGGUUGCAACGGGUAACGGAGAAUUAGGGUUCGAUUCCGGAGAGGGAGCCUGAGAGACGGCUACCACACCCAAGGAAGGCAGCAGGCGCGCAAAUUACCCACUCCGGACUCCGGGAGGUAGUGACAAGAAAUAACAAUGCCGGGCACUUUGUGUCUGGCAAUUGGAAUGAGCACAAUCCAAAACCCUUAGCGAUGAUCAAUUGGAGGGCCAGUCUGGUGCCAGCAGCCGCGGUAAUUCCAGCUCCAAUAGCGUAUAUUAAAGUUGUUGCAGUUAAAAAGCUCGUAGUUGGACUUUGGUGUCCGAGCGCUGGUCAGCUGUUUCAGCGUGUUCCGGCGUUUCGGCGCUUCCGUCUGGAAAAUGUUCUCGCCCCUAACGGGACGGGGACACUAUUCAGGCCUUUUACUUUGAGAAAAUCGGAGUGUUCAAAGCAGCCGCAUGCCCGAACGCUUCAGCAUUGAAUAAUGGAAUAGGACCCGGCUCCUAUUUGUUGGUUUUAGGAGUAAGGUAAUGAUUAACAGGAACAGUUGGGGGCAUUAGUAUUUAAUUGUCAGAGGUGAAAUUCUUGGAUUUAAGAAAGACUAACUUCUGCGAAAGCAUUUGCCAAGGAUGUUUUCAUUAAUCAAGAACGAAAGUUAGGGGAUCGAAGACGAUUAGAUACCGUCGUAGUCUUAACCAUAAACUAUGCCGACUCGGGAUUGGAGAGUGUUAUUUCACGACCUCUCCAGCACCGUAUGAGAAACCAAAGUUUUUGGGCUCUGGGGGGAGUAUGGUCGCAAGGCCGAAACUUAAAGGAAUUGACGGAGGGGCACCACAAGGAGUGGAGCCUGCGGCUUAAUUUGACCCAACACGGGAAAACUUUCCAGGUCAGGACAUAGGAAGGAUUGUCAGAUUGAUAGCUCUUACUUGAUUCUAUGGAUGGUGGUGCAUGGCCGUUCUUAGUUGGUGGAGUGAUUUGUCUGCUUAAUUGCGUUAACGAACGAGACCUUCGCCUGCUAAAUAGCUACGGGGACCCCGUUUCCCCGGCUAGCUUCUUAGAGGGACUGUAUGAGUCAAUCAUACGGAAGCUGGAGGCAAUAACAGGUCCGUGAUGCCCUUAGAUGUUCUGGGCCGCACGCGCGCUACACUGACGCGGUCAACGAGUUUUAACCUGCGCCGAAAGGCCUGGGUAAUCUUUUCAAACCGUGUCGUGCUGGGGAUAGAUUUUUGCCAUUAUAAAUCUUAAACGAGGAAUUCCUAGUAGGUGCGACUCAUCAGGUCGCGCCGACUGCGUCCCUGCCCCUUGUACACACCGCCCGUCGCUCCUACCGAUUGAACGACCCUGUGAAGUUUGUGGACCGCCACACCGGCGCGGGCAACCGUGCUAGUUGUAGCGGGAAGCGAAUUAAACAUUGCCGUUUAGAGGAAGGAGAAGUCGUAACAAGGUC